AGUACCGUGAGGGAAAGGUGAAAAGCACCCCGAUGAGGGGAGUGAAACAGUACCUGAAACCGAAUGCUUACAAUCAGUAGGAGGGUCCUUGUGGCCUGACUGCGUACCUCUUGUAUAAUGGGUCUGUGACUUAAUGUACCAAGCAAGCUUAAGCCGUUAGGUGUAGGCGCAGCGAAAGCGAGUCUGAAUAGGGCGACUGAGUUUGAUGCAUUAGACCCGAAACCCGGCGAUCUAGGCAUGACCAGGCUGAAGGUGCGGUAACACGCACUGGAGGGCCGAACCGUUUAAUGUUGAAAAAUUAUCGGAUGAGUUGUGCUUAGGGGUGAAAGGCCAAUCAAGCCGGGAAAUAGCUGGUUCUCCGCGAAAUCUAUUGAGGUAGAGCGUCGAAUGAUUGCCGUUGGGGGUAGAGCACUGGAUGGAUGCGGGGGUCGCGAGAUCUACCAACUCUAACCAAACUCCGAAUACCAACGAGUCUAGUUCGGCAGACAGACGGCGGGUGCUAAGGUCCGUCGUCAAAAGGGAAACAGCCCUAACCUACAGCUAAGGUCCCCAAGUCAUCACUAAGUGGGAAAGCAUGUGGGAUUUCCAAAACAACCAGGAGGUUGGCUUAGAAGCAGCCAUCCUUUAAAGAAAGCGUAACAGCUCACUGGUCUAAAUAAGAGAUCCUGCGGCGAAGAUGUAACGGGGCUAAAGUGAUGCACCGAAGCUUAGGGUGUGAUCUUCGGAUCACGCGGUAGCGGAGCGUUCCGUAGGCUGAUGAAGCGAUCUGGUAAUGGGUCGUGGAGGUAUCGGAAGUGCGAAUGCUGACAUGAGUAGCGAUAAAGAGGGUGAGAUGCCCUCUCGCCGAAAGCCCAAGGGUUCCUGCGCAAGGCUAAUCCGCGCAGGGUAAGUCGGCCCCUAAGACGAGCCCGAAGGGGGUAGUCGAUGGGAAUCAGGUUAAUAUUCCUGAACCUGGAGGUGUGUGACGGAUCUCGUAAGUUGUCAGUCCUUAACGGAUUGGACUGGCUUCGAAGAGGUUCCAGGAAAUAGCCCCUCCAUUAUAGACCGUACCCGAAACCGACACAGGUGGGCAGGUAGAGUAUACCUAGGCGCUUGAGAGAAGUGUACUGAAGGAACUCGGCAAAUUGCCUCCGUACCUUCGGAAGAAGGAGGCCCCAUCUUAAGGCAACUUUUGAUGGGGGGCACAGGCCAGGGGGUAGCGACUGUUUAGCAAAAACACAGGGCUCUGCUAAGUCGGCUUCAAGACGACGUAUAGGGCCUGACGCCUGCCCGGUGCCUGAAGGUUAAGUGGAGGGGUGCAAGCUCCGAAAUGAAGCCCAGGUAAACGGCGGCCGUAACUAUAACGGUCCUAAGGUAGCGAAAUUCCUUGUCGG
rnacentral:rRNA from 1 species